rnacentral:rRNA from 1 species
UACGUAGGGACCAAGCGUUGUUCGGAUUUACUGGGCGUAAAGGGCGCGUAGGCGGCGUGGUAAGUCAGCUGUGAAAUCUCCGAGCUUAACUCGGAACGGUCAGCUGAUACUGCUGUGCUAGAGUACAGAAAGGGCAAUCGGAAUUCUUGGUGUAGCGGUGAAAUGCGUAGAUAUCAGGAGGAACACCCAUGGCGAAGGCAGCUAACUGGGCAUUAUCUGACGCUGAGGCGCGAAAGCGUGGGUAGCAAACAGG